rnacentral:tRNA from 1 species
GGAGAGAUGCCGGAGCGGUCGAACGGGUUGGUUUCGAAAACCAAUGUACCCUUUGGGUACCCAGGGUUCGAAUCCCUGUCUCUCCG